rnacentral:rRNA from 1 species
CGGGAAUAUUGCGCACUGGAGGAAACUCUGACGCAGUGACGCCGCGUAUAGGAAGAAGGUCUUCGGAUUGUAAACUAUUGUCGUUAGGGAAGAGAAAGGACAGUACCUAAGGAGGAAGCUCCGGCUAACUACGUGCUAGCAGCCGCGGUAAUACGUAGGGAGCGAGCGUUAUCCGGAUUUAUUGGGUGUAAAGGGUGCGUAGACGGGAAAAUAAGUUAGUUGUGAAAUCCCUCGGCUUAACUGAGGAACUGCAACUAAAACUAUUUUUCUUGAGUGCAGGAGAGGAAAGUGGAAUUCCUAGUGUAGCGGUGAAAUGCGUAGAUAUUAGGAGGAACACCAGUGGCGAAGGCGACUUUCUGGACUGUAACUGACGUUGAGGCACGAAAGUGUGGGGAGCAAACAGGA